rnacentral:misc_RNA from 1 species
GAUGAAGAACGUAGCGAAAUGCGAUAAGUAAUGUGAAUUGCAGAAUUCCGUGAAUCAUCGAAUCUUUGAACGCACAUUGCGCCCCCUGGCAUUCCGGGGGGCAUGCCUGUCCGAGCGUCAUUUCUGCCCUCAAGCACGGCUUGUGUGUUGGGUGUGGUCCCCCCGGGGACCUGCCCGAAAGGCAGCGGCGACGUCCGUCUGGUCCUCGAGCGUAUGGGGCUCUGUCACUCGCUCGGGAAGGACCUGCGGGAGUUGGUCACCACUAUAUUUUACCACGGUUGACCUCGGAUCAGGUAGGAGUUACCCGCUGAACUUAAGCAUAUCAAUAAGCGGAGGA